AUUGAACGCUGGCGGCAGGCCUAACACAUGCAAGUCGAACGGUAACAGGAAACAGCUUGCUGUUUCGCUGACGAGUGGCGGACGGGUGGGUAAUGUCUGGGAAACUGCCUGAUGGAGGGGGAUAACUACUGGAAACGGUAGCUAAUACCGCAUAACGUCGCAAGACCAAAGAGGGGGACCUUCGGGCCUCUUGCCAUCGGAUGUGCCCAGAUGGGAUUAGCUAGUAGGUGGGGUAACGGCUCACCUAGGCGACGAUCCCUAGCUGGUCUGAGAGGAUGACCAGCCACACUGGAACUGAGACACGGUCCAGACUCCUGCGGGAGGCAGCAGUGGGGAAUAUUGCACAAUGGGCGCAAGCCUGAUGCAGCCAUGCCGCGUGUAUGAAGAAGGCCUUCGGGUUGUAAAGUACUUUCAGCGGGGAGGAAGGGAGUAAAGUUAAUACCUUUACUCAUUGACGUUACCCGCAGAAGAAGCACCGGCUAACUCCGUG
rnacentral:rRNA from 1 species